rnacentral:misc_RNA from 1 species
GCAUGAAGAUGAAAAUUUACACAUUAGGAGAUUACUGUAAAGGCAAUUCAUAUUUUUCACUGAUAUUAGGUGAUUUCUAAAUUUUCUAGAGGACAAUAAGCCUAAACAUGCCAUGUUUGCAGUUUUUUUUUUUUUUUUUUUUUUUAAUGUUUCGGUAUCAUAUACCAAAGCUCCAUGAGAAGCUAGAGACAAGUCCUUUACACUGGUUACAAAGUCUUAACCUCCUUUUUAGCUAAACGGCCCAUCCACCCUAAUAUCAAAAACAUUAUAAUCAAACAAACCAAAUAUAGAAGCAGAACAUUCAUAAAUGGCAUUAAAGGCACUGAGGCAGCAAUCUUGACAUGUAAACAAGCUCAAUAUAUGAAUAAUAGACUUGCCAAAAAUUUCAGUGCCAAUUGAUUGCCUCAACAAAACCACAUCUGAG